GGGCCGUCGGGCAGGGAGUUCCGCCGGCUCUCCCCGGCCCCCCUCAGUAGUAGCGGUUCAGGCUGCGGGUGUCGGGGCGGGGGCGGGGCCGUCGGGCAGGGAGUUCCUCCGGCUCUCCCCGCGCCCCCCCUCAGUAGUAGCGCAGGGAGUUCCGCCGGCUCUCCCCGGCCCCCCUCAGUAGUAGCGGUUCAGGCUGCGGGUGGCCGGGCCGGGGCCGUCGGGCUGCCCGUUCCUCCGGCUCUCCCCGCGCCCCCCUCAGUAGUAGCGGUUCAGGCUGCGGGUGGCCGGGCCGGGGCCGUCGGGCUGCCCGUUCAGCCAGAUCUCGCGGAUGAUGCGCUCCCUCUCCUCCAGCCGCUGCGCCCGCUCCAGCUCCUCGGCCGACGUGAACACGUUCCUGUGGGGCGGCCGCUCGAAGAGCCAGGGCCUGCGCGCGGAGCCGGCCGAGGAGCAGCCGUCGCCGCUGUCGCCGCUGUCCUCGCUGUCGCUGGCGCUGAGGUCGCAGCUGCCGCCGCGGCGCCCGGCCGGGCCCUUCUUCCCGCGCCGCGGCCGGCAGUCGGCGCGGCAGGACACGGUCAGCACCAAGGCGGCCAGCGUGAGCACGAGCCCCACGCACACGCCGGAC
rnacentral:lncRNA from 1 species